UGAAAAGAAAAUAUUCAAAUAAAGAGGAAAAGGUAUCCAGAAUCCAAACUCUUGGGAACUCUAAUAUGAAAAUGCAUUAAAGAUAACAGACAGUGAAUGAGGAUGAAAUUGGGUAGUGGUAGGUAAGCAAAGUGAAGAAAGGAGGAAGGAGUGAUCACCUUUGUAAUAUUGUGCUGAGAGAAUGGAUGAGAGGAAACUGAGCAAUGCAUGUGGCAAUGUAGAGGUCUUUGGUGGCCUUUCAGUUUUGGUGAAAUGAUGGAUGGCAAUGCUUGACUGGAGUUAGUUCAUCCGAAAAUGGGAAGAGAGUGCAGUCCUGGACCCCUUCAUUUUACACAAUGCCACUUACAAGAUUCUUAUUCCAAAUGAUGGACAAUAAAAUCUGUACUAACAGCCCUUUCCUGAGGAUUUUGGUGUAUCACCACUUGACACAC
rnacentral:lncRNA from 1 species